rnacentral:rRNA from 1 species
GACGAACGCUGGCGGCGUGCUUAACACAUGCAAGUCGAACGGUGAAAGCGGAGCUUGCUCCGCUGGAUCAGUGGCGAACGGGUGAGUAACACGUGGGCAACCUGCCCCUCACUUCGGGAUAACUCCGGGAAACCGGGGCUAAUACCGGAUAUGACCUCCUUGGGCAUCCUUGGAGGUGGAAAGUUUUUCGGUGAGGGAUGGGCCCGCGGCCUAUCAGCUUGUUGGUGAGGUAGUGGCUCACCAAGGCGACGACGGGUAGCCGGCCUGAGAGGGCGACCGGCCACACUGGGACUGAGACACGGCCCAGACUCCUACGGGAGGCAGCAGUGGGGAAUAUUGCGCAAUGGGCGAAAGCCUGACGCAGCAACGCCGCGUACGGGAUGACGGCCUUCGGGUUGUAAACCGCUUUCAGCGGGGAAGAAGCCGCAAGGUGACGGUACCUGCAGAAGAAGCACCGGCUAACUACGUGCCAGCCGCCGCGGUAA